UCGCCGUUAUGUUUUUGGCUGUCUUCAGUUUUGCGACAGCAGCCAGCGGCAGACCAUUUUCCUGGGCCGAUUCUUGCUUUUGGUUCAAGCGCCUGGCAGCAGCAGAUUCUGGGCUUCGGCCUGUUUUUUUUUUGUUUUGUUUCCUUCGCGCCAGCUCUUUUUCUUUGCAGCCCAUCGCAACUUCCUGGGAGCCCAGCUCUGUUU
rnacentral:lncRNA from 1 species